rnacentral:rRNA from 1 species
GACAGAGGGUGCAAACGUUGUUCGGAAUUACUGGGCGUAAAGCGCGUGUAGGCGGCUAUGUAAGUCGGGCGUGAAAUCCCACGGCUCAACCGUGGAAGUGCACCCGAAACUGCGUAGCUAGAGUCCUGGAGAGGAAGGUGGAAUGCUUGGUGUAGAGGUGAAAUUCGUAGAUAUCAAGCGGAACACCGGUGGCGAAGGCGGCCUUCUGGACAGUGACUGGCGCUGAGACGCGAAAGCGGGGGGAGCAAACAGG